CUAUAGUUUCCUUUCCAACAAAUGAAAAAUAAAAAGUAUACUUUUUCAAGUCGAUAUAAUAUCUCACGCAAACCGCCGCGAAAUGAAAUGAAAAGAUACUUUUUACUUUUAAGUUUUUUUUUUUUUUUCUCUGUUGUGGACUAUUGAUGGCCAAGAGCGUUAAAGAAGCAGCAAAAGGAUAUAUUUUAUUUUCGAGGCGAGCAAGGAUGGGAAAAACACCAAGAAACGGACACCAGAAAUGCAUACACGGCGAAAAGUGAAAGAACAAGAACAAGAACGAAUGGAUGGUUGGUUGGUUAAUGGUUAUACCACUCCUUUCUAACCUACAUUAUGCGCGUACACCACGAACAACAAGAACAAUAAAGUUUCCUUUUUUCU